rnacentral:lncRNA from 1 species
AGUAAGUAUGUACAAAAAGAAAUUGGAAUGACUAUUGCAAAAGAUCAAAAAAUGAGAGAUUCUUGACACUAGACAAGAAAUAAGAAAGGAGUUGCAAGACUGCAAAAAGACUCAUUCUUGUCUUUAUAUAUACUAUCAAAUUAAAAACUACGUAGCAAUAUUCUAUAAGGUAUCAAACAUAUGUUCAACUUGCAAGACAUAUAUUUAAAUUGUAUAACAAGUUUCUUAUAUAUAUGCUAUAUGACCUACUUGUACCAUAAGUGGCUAAUAUGUGCAAUACAUGGCUAAUUUAUUGGCCAAGUUUUUAACCUAGUAAUCACCUAGAAAUACAUAUAAAAUCAAAUCUAUAUUUAUGAAGCUUCUAACAAGCUUAUUCAUAUAAUAUUAUCAAAUUUAUUUUCUUUUAAUUACUUCUAUUUAAUUCUAAUAAUUUAAAUAAAUAUAUAUGUAAAAAAUAUAAAAUUAUAUAUUAAGUUAAAAAUAUAUAAAUUUUAUAAAACUCAAGUUAAUUAUUUGGAUUAUAUGAUUUUAAAUGAUAGUUUUAUAAUAGAUUCAAAGAAACUCUAAAUUAUUAUUAACCAAAUUUUUUAAAAAUAAUAAAUAUUUUUAAAUAUUCUAUUAUUAAUAGAUUUUUAUUAAGAUUUUUUUUAUGUUGCAUCUUUUUUUACAUGUUUGACUUGUAAAGGCAAAUUUAUUAAUGAAACAAAAAAGAAGAAGUAAGAAGUCUCAAUACUUACCAUCAACAAGGUUGUUUUCAAAGAAAGGUGUAGAAUAAGAUAACUUUUACUAUUAUAUUCUUAACUUAUAGGUUGUAUUAUAUAGUGUCUAUCUACUAUUAAGAUAUUUUUUAGAAUAUACUUUAUAUUUUUUUAUAUUUAUAUUAGAUUUUAGAUUCUUCAUAACCUACAUAGUACCAAAAACUCUAGUAGCCAUCCUAGUGACUUAUCUUCAACCUUUGCUACUUUUUGACCAAUAUCAACUUAUUGUAGU